GGGGAAGAGCUGCCUCAGUUAGGACACAGAGCGAACCAUGGAAGCCCCCACUCAGCUUCUCUGCCUCCUGUUACUCUGGAUUCCAGAUACCACCGGAGAAAUCGUGAUGACCCAGUCUCCAGCCUCCUUGUCUUUGUCUUCAAGAGAAAGAGCCACCUUCAACUGCAGGCCCAGUCAGAGUGUUAGUAGCUACUUAGCCUGGUACCAGCAGAAACCUGAGGAGGCUCCCAGGCUCCUCAUUUAUAGUGCAUCUACCAGGGCCACUGGCAUCCCAGCCAGAUUCAGUGGCAGUGGGUCUGGGACAGAAUUUACUCUCACCAUCAGCAACCUGGAGCCUGAAGAUUUUGCAACUUACUACUGUCAGCAAUAUUAUAUUGAGUAUCCACAGUGA